UACGUAGGGUGCAAGCGUUGUCCGGAAUUAUUGGGCGUAAAGAGCUCGUAGGCGGUUUGUCGCGUCUGCUGUGAAAACGCGGGGCUCAACUCCGCGCCUGCAGUGGGUACGGGCAGACUAGAGUGCGGUAGGGGAGAUUGGAAUUCCUGGUGUAGCGGUGGAAUGCGCAGAUAUCAGGAGGAACACCGAUGGCGAAGGCAGAUCUCUGGGCCGUAACUGACGCUGAGGAGCGAAAGCAUGGGGAGCGAACAGG
rnacentral:rRNA from 1 species